GAUGUUGAACUUGGGGUCAAAGACGUUGACGCCUGUGGCGUAGCGACACAGCCCUGGCAUUGUGAAGGCGUAGUGGCUCUCAUACUGGCCUGGUUUGUCUUUGCUGCAUUUUGUCAGGGAAUCCUGGGAUCAGUUGCGCGACAUUGCUGAGAGAAUGCUUUUAGUUUACGGAGUGACUGACCUUCCUGCUAUUUCUUGGUAGGUGCUAGCGAUGAUGAAGUCGCUAGUGUUCAUGGCAAUCAUGUCGGCAGUAAAUUGGCAGGAGAAAUGAUUUGGCUGGUGACAGAAGAACAUUCUUUUCAGAAUUCCAUUUUGAUGGCUCAUUUCACCUGGGUAACUCCUAGCUUGCUCGACAAGAGGGAUGCUACUAGAUUGCCAUCGGUGUAAUUGCCGAUGACCAUGUCUGGCUUCCCCUCCAGAAUGUCAAGAAUCUUGACAGAAGAAUCCUGAAACCACCACGAUAAAGGUAAGGAUAAAUGUCAAACCGGGAGACCCACUGACGAAGAUCUUUCCCAUCGUCAGUUUUGAAUGGCACGCGGAGGAUGCUCGAGUGUUUCGUGUGCUCGACCGGUUCAAGCUCAACGUUGCACUUGGUGCCCUUUGCGUCCGGUAUGAGUCUUGUUAACUGCAACACGAGCGAGGAGCUGUCAGAUGCCCCCUCCCUGGACUGUUAGGCCAUGGUGGUUUAAUGAAGGCGAUCGAAGCUUACCACAAGAAUCCUCGGGGGUUAUCUACCAGUGUGAUAUAAGGAUCACUGUACCUGACCACCGGUGUCUGGCAACCCAAGGACCUUCUCUUGACCAAAGUAACCAUGGAUGGAGAAGAUGACGAUGUUGAACACCGACGGCACCCUGCUGAAGAACUUCUCCAUGUUGAUGGGAUCCGGCGCCUGGAGCACUUCGGAGAGGAAGUUGAGUGUUUCUCUGCAUGUUUCGGCAGUGUCACCCCACCCCUUCUCCAAACCCCACUCCUGAAACCUGCAACGGCCGGCCGGCAACCAUAUCAUCGGUCGGUCAGGCUGGAGAUAAAGACCUCUGCGAGAAGCAAUGCUGUUUGAAGCUUGUCGGCGGUGUCUAGGGUGUCGCUGAUCAUCAGUUUCUGGAUGACAGAAAGGAAAGACCGAGCUCAUUCCAGUUAGCUCCCUGCGUACCAACAAGCUUACUGAAUGGAAUGACCAAUCAAUAUGCAUGCUUACUUCGCCACGGUAGUUCAGCGCGAGCAGGUAGUCCAGCAGCGGCUUCAUGCUCUCCGGCUUGCCGCUUAGCUUCGAGGACAUGAACCGGGAGACGAACUGCAUCCCAUUCCCGAUGGACGACGGCAGCGUCAGGUGAGGCGUGGAGAGGUCCAGCGCGCCGAAAUCGACCUCCAGCGAGUUAUCAUCGCGCGCCCUGAAGAAAACAACAGCAGCAGAGGGUCUCCUUGCACUUGAGGUAAGCGGAUGGCGUGAUCUCCUCGACGGAGAGGUCCCCGGAGUGCACCCUGAUGAACUCCCAGACGCCGGGGUUGGUCCGGACGGCGAAGGCGACGAGGGGAGGGAGCACGACGGCCUCCUGCGUGGAGCAGAUGACGUAGCCGAGGAAGCCCUCGGCGAGCCUGGCCUUCUCGGGCUUGUCGUCGCCCGCCGACGCCUCCAGCUCCUCCAUCAGCUGCUGGUUCUUCAUCAGCCUCCUGCCCUUGGAGACGUACCUGCAGAGCAAGGAAGGACCCAUCCAUCAUGCAUGGGCGUUUGUCUGCAUACAUUUCAGAGAGAGAAAGAAAUGAAGAAAGAAAGGAGUGUUUGUGUUUGUGUGGUACCUCUGGAAGCACCUCUUCAUCUGGUAGCGGCUCUGGCGCAGCGCCUCGGGCAUCAUGUCGGCGACGCUGUCGGACCUCCUGAGGGGCAUGUAGGAGGAGGAGGAGGAGGAGGAGGCCAUGGCUGAGCUGAGGUGGAGGUGGUUUGGCUUGGUGGUGGUGUUAUGUGAUGGCAAGGCAAGUUUAUAGGCAAGGGGAGGAAGAUGGAAGCAAGUUAACUAAUUAUGCUCUCCUCUGUAUCUGUCUCUGUCUCUGUCUGUCUCUUUCAGAGGAGAUGAGGAAGAUGAAAGGCAAGAGAGGA